AUGAACGCUGGCGGCGUGCCUAACACAUGCAAGUCGAACGAGAUGCGUAUUGGAAAGCUUCGGCCGGAAGAUGCGUUAUCUAGUGGCGGACGGGUGAGUAACACGUGGGUAACCUGCCUUAUGGAGGGGGAUAACAGAGAGAAAUCACUGCUAAUACCGCAUAAGCACACAUUGCCGCAUGGCAGAGUGUGAAAAGAUUUAUCGCCAUAAGAUGGACCCGCGUCUGAUUAGCCAGUUGGCAGGGUAAAAGCCUACCAAAGCAACGAUCAGUAGCCGAUCUGAGAGGAUGACCGGCCACAUUGGGACUGAGACACGGCCCAAACUCCUACGGGAGGCAGCAGUGGGGAAUAUUGCACAAUGGGGGAAACCCUGAUGCAGCGACGCCGCGUGAGUGAAGAAGUAUUUCGGUAUGUAAAGCUCUAUCAGCAGGGAAGAUAAUGACAGUACCUGACUAAGAAGCCCCGGCUAACUACGUG
rnacentral:rRNA from 1 species